rnacentral:lncRNA from 1 species
UCAGCAUGUAUAAAAUUUAUUUAUGCUUCAGGAUUUUUUUUAACUUUUGAUACCAGCUAUCAAAAUUUGAUCAUGUCAAUUUAUCACUAUCUAAUAGUGAUUGGAGCAACAAAGUUGUAGCUAUAACCGUAAAAAGAAAAUUAAAACUUAAUUUGUAUAUGAAUUGAUUAAGCCUAAAGAUAUGAAUUUUAGUCUAAAGAUUCUUUCACUAUUUUAGU